CGGGGAAGGAGGGCCCACACGGCCUCCGCUUCCUUUCUCCCCAGCGGGAGCCCGAUGCCGGCAGGCCCACGGCCUCACAGCACAAUGGUGCAAACGUGAGUGGAACAUCAGAUGCGCCAGAUGUGGUCAGGACAGAGGAAAAGGAGUGAACUCGGCUGAUAGAAAUCAAAGACCUCCCCUGCCAAACCCUGGACAAGACUUCUUUCUGGACCCAAGGUGCACAGGACCCCAAACAGCCAGGUGGUAAGAAAUGCCAGGAUGUGGCACCCCUUGGAUUGAGGGUGGCUGCUGCAGCCCGGGGAGGAGAGUGGAUCCAAGCUUGCUUUGCUGGGGGAGAAAAUGGAACCAUUGUCUGUUCCCAUUGUUCCUUCUGAGACGACGCAGGGGACCGAGCAGCCGGCGUUUCAUCUCCAAUUAUUUUCAGCCAAAGGAGAAAACAGAUGGUAAAUAGCACUGGAAAAAAAAAUUUUUUUAGAAUUAAUAUUAAUAAAAGAUGUGUGGGAGGCUCUGACUGAAUCUCGGAGAAGCAGGGCCCGCCGCAUGUGUUGGGUUGGGGGAUGAAGGUGGCUGAAAGGCCGGGGCGGGGAGUGGUGGCUGCAGAGAGAGAACAGACAUGUGGGGCCGAGCCAGCCACUCCCCGUGUGAUCCCAAAGGUGCCAGAGGGCAGUGUGGGUGGCGGGGCACCUUUGGGAGCCCAGCAUUUGGUGGGGGCUGGAGCCCUAAAGCCACGAGGCGCCUGUCGAGGUCCUGAGAUCCACGGGGGAGGAGAGUGAUGGGGCCAAGCUGCAGGCUGCCCAGGGCUCACAAGGAACACUGGCGCCACUGGGCCCCCCUUCCAGCCGGGUGUGGCCCAGAUGGCUCUUGUACGCAGCUGCAGCAGACAGAGGAGGCGGGCGGGGGUCCUCACCUCCCCGGCCCACGCUGGCCGCGAUCUCGGCCCCACUCGGCCAGUCCCAGUGUCCAUCUGUCAGCAAGCGCUAUUGAAUGUCCACCGGCUGCCCAGCUGUCCUCUGAGAGUUUGCAUUCCACGUUCAAGCAGAGAAACUGAUCUGGCUCCUUCAGGAUUUGUAGGCAUCACAGGGGAGGAAGGAGUGACAUGCAGUGGGUCCUGUGUGUGGAGGGGGAAAGGCGGGUUCCUGGGGACAGUGGUUUAUUCAACAAAAGCUUUGGAGCACUCGUUAGGUGCUUGGGAACAGAACGGAUGGAGUCCCUGCCCUCCAGGAACUUACACUCCAGCAGGAGAGAAGAAACAGUCAAAUGCACACCCAAAUGUACGUGAACUACAAUCAAGUUAGAUUAUUUCGUAGGAAAUGACAAAUGGGGACAGUGCCAGGAAAGAAAGGACGAGAAUGCCGGGAGAGCUACGCCACUGUGUCAUGAUGAUUUACCACGGUCUCCGAGGCUUCCCCAAGCUUCUGUCUCCCUUCACCCCGGCGCUCAGGUAGGCAUGAGCUUGGAGAAGCUGGAAAGAAAGCAUGUACCACAAUCAUGAACUGUAAGUAUUAGCGUUAAAAAAUAAAAGCUACCUUAUAAGACAGAAGCCCUCACCUGGGACCAUCCUGCAGCCAUGUCCAUCUGAUCUUGUUUCUUUCUUUGUUUGGGCCACUAGAAAGCUCAAGGUGGAACCAUGAUUCACCUCCAGCAACAAACAUGAAGGAUGUUGAGCUGGAUUACGAACCAGAAGACAAACAUUGCCAGAAAGGACGUUAUUGGGAUAACUGAUGAAAUCAGAAUGUGGACUAUGGACUGUAGAUAGAUAAAAGCCUUGUUUUAACGGAAAUUUCCUAAAUUUGGUCAUUUACUCUUGUUUUGUAAGACAUUGUCCUUGCUCUUGGGAAAUGCACCCUAAAAGGGGUAAAGAGGGUGUGAUAUCUGCAACUCUGUCUCAAAUGGCCCAGAAAUG